rnacentral:rRNA from 1 species
UACGGAGGGUGCAAGCGUUGUUCGGAAUUACUGGGCGUAAAGCGCGCGUAGGCGGUGAUCUUUGUCAGAGGUGAAAGCCCGGGGCUCAACUCCGGAAUUGCCUUUGAAACGGGAUCGCUAGAGUCCGAGAGAGGGCGGCGGAAUUCCUAGUGUAGAGGUGAAAUUCGCAGAUAUUAGGAAGAACACCGGUGGCGAAGGCGGCCAUCUGGCUCGGUACUGACGCUCAGGCGCGAAAGCGUGGGGAGCAAACAGG